AGCAGAGUCUCCAAUAAGACUAUAAAGCCUUAGUCCAGCAUAGAGGGGCUGAGUGAACGUGGUCUGGACUCUGUGGAGGAGAGAGAGUCAUGGUUUCAGAGACUCUGUAGAAGGACAGAAUACCUGCACUGUGAUCCAGGUACACU